CCGGUCUGCAGCUCCACCAUGUGCAGAGCUGCUAACCAUGAUAGAGGUCUUGCAAGCUCCCAGAACGUUGCAAGACGUCUAUCAUAUGGUCUGCAGCUCUGCAUCCGGCGGAGCUGCUGACCAGAGAGCGCUCAUUGGACCACCACGGAAUUUAUGAUUUUAAAAACAAAGGUAUGUCACAGCCUCCCACCCCUUGGCCCACCUUCACACUGCCCCCAACACACACACACACUCUUCAACCCCACACUGUCACCAACACACACACUGCCCCUCCCAUCAUGGUCAGUUUUUC